rnacentral:rRNA from 1 species
AUUGAACGCUGGCGGCAGGCCUAACACAUGCAAGUCGAGCGGAGCGGCGGACGGGUGAGUAAUGCCUAGGAAGCUGCCUGGUAGUGGGGGAUAACGUCCGGAAACGGGCGAUAAUACCGCAUACUAUCAGAUGAGCCUAGGUCGGAUUAUCUAGUUGGUGGGGUAAAGGCCUACCAAGGCGACGAUCCGUAAAUUGUCUGAGAGGAUGAUCAGUCACACGGGAACUGAGCCACGGUCCAGCAUCCUGCGGGAGGCAGCAGUGGUGAAUAUUGGACAAUUGGCGAAAGCCUGAUCCAGCCAUGCCGCGUGUGUGAAGAAGGUCUUCGGAUUGUAAAUCACUUUAAUUUAGGAGGCGUUACCAACAGAAUAAGCACCGGCUAACUUCGUGCCAGCAGCCGCGGUGAUUC